AGUGUGAUUCAAACUGCGACUGAGUGUCGGUCCGUGACUGGGUUCCUCCAACAAGAGUCCAAAGACGGAUCAGAUCGGCUAUGUUUUGAUAUUGUUAUGAAAAAUUGAAUAAAGAGGCCUUCCCGAGGACAGCUACGUGUUCUCUUCCUGGUUGAAAACAGCUGUUGUCACUACGACAACCAUAGACGCAGUCGGCUGAAGAUCGCCAGUUAACAGGGUCGCGAGUAAAUCCGGAACACCGUCUCUUUAGGUUGACUGCCUACAGACAGUUUACCCUCUGGGCCAGGGGCCAUUUGGGAAGGAAGAACCGGGUCCCGAUUCCAGCCUGUGUGGCCUGGCCUUCCACAGAUGUACAGUAUGAGUGGUCAUUGUUUAUGACCUGGUUGGUAAGUAUGUCAUCUGUCAAAGUGCCUGUGCAAAUGUACUGCUUAUUGUCUCCCUCUUCUGUAUCCUGUUGAAAUGGAUCGGUCUGGGUGCCGACACUGACUGUCAGGGUGUGCACACUGCCUGUCACCUGCUCUAUCUCCUCACUGAUGUCAGCCUCUGGGAAUUUGCUGCUGGCCACCAGUUGCAUGCAUGCCUGCCUAACCUGUUAACACAAAUGUACACUUUUUAGGUACCCAAAUGAUGUUAUCAGCCUUAACAUGAAAGACUUUGUACUUACAUCCUGACUACUGAUUUAUUAAAGAUUCAUAUACCCUAAA